rnacentral:misc_RNA from 1 species
UCCUGGUUUCCCAGGCAGUUCCGCCAGAGUGCCUUGCUUACGCAAGUAGCAACUGGCAGUAGGAGUUGCGCUCGUUAGAGGACUCAACCAGACAUCUCACGACACGAGCUGACGACAGCCAUGCAGCACCUGUGCAAUUGUCCAAGUAAACUUGGAAGACCGUAUUUCUACGGCUGUCAAAGGCAUGUCAAGCCUAGGUAAGGUUCCUCGCGUAGUGUCGAAUUAAACCACAUGUUCCACCGCUUGUGCGGACCCCCGUCAAUUCCUUUAAGUUUUAGUCUUGCGACCGUAAUCCCCAGGCGGAUCACUUAACGCGUUAGCUACGACACUAACUUUGCUAAGCAAAGCUAACGUCUAGUGAUCAUCGUUUACGGCGUGGACUAC